GAAUAAAACAAAAGAGUAGAGAAUGUUCGCUAUCUCGAGAUCCCGACUUAGCUCAGCCAAUCAAAUUGUUUGUUAUGUCAAUUUAACGUUUAUUCUGGAUUACCUGCCCCUUUGUAUACAAAGAGUCAUCAGGUACAGACGAAGUUAUAGCGGAGGCGAUGGCAAUAGUUAUCAACAGCCAGUCAGUUACAGAUGCAUUGCGACAGAGACGUUGUUAUCUACGUCUCUGAUUGCGAACACAGAAUUAAACAACAUUGGUCAUAAUGAUACAUACAAGAGAUCGGCAGAGCAGGAAGAAGCCAUGUUGAUGCCCUGGCCAUUCUCUUCUUUAACAAAUCAGUCAUUGCAUCUGCACGUAUGACCGGAGAAAUGAAGGACUAUUGUGGAAACUCAACUAUCUGCCGAAGAACUUUAGUUAACCAGUAUUUUGGUUUUGAAACUAAGGAAGUCUAACAGUUUUCAAUUUGUUGUGAUUUGUGUAAUAAUGAACUGGGGAUAGAAUAUGAUUUUAGUAAACUGUCACCUAACUAGAAGCAUACAUAUUAUUAUUACAAGAUUCCUUGAUUAAUUGAAUUUUCACAUCUUUUUAGGAAGGUCUAUCCUCGAAUAUUUUAAAUAUCUUAAAUAUAUUUGAUUGGAUUGAUUUAUUAAUCAUUUAUGUUUGAUGAAAAUGUAUAUUCUAGGUUGAAUUAAUGCAUAUGUUAGUGUGAGUGUGUGUGUAUGUUUGUGUGUUGCUGAGGAUAGUGC